GUUGGACCGGCCCAUGAGCGGAGGCACGUGAGCGCUGCGCGAAGAGGAGGACUCGCAGCCGCCUCCACCCUCCUCUGCUGAUCCAAUCAGGUCAACGCGUGCGCCCCCUCCCUCCUCUGCUGCGGCUGCUGCGGCUUAGAUCUCCCUCUUCAAUCUGGAGAGAUAGGAGGAUUCUGAGAAGCAAACCGAGUGGGACUCCUCGAAUCAAGUCCGUGCCUUCAUCAGCAAAAGAAUCCCCGAGUGCCCAAUCCAAUACAGUUCUUCGCGUAUUCGAAUCAGAUUAUGAAGUCCGGCGGUACACCUGAGAAUAAUCGGACUGUCGCCGAAGCUCCGUAUCUUCCUCCUCCGGCAUUGGGUCUUUUUAAGUCGGCCAAGAUUGAUUUUGCCUAUAUGGAGGCCUGUAGCCUAGCCUGGACAAUGAGCUUAUGGAGUCUAGCUAUACACCCAGCAUAUCUGUGCUCGCUAGUUCUCAGAGCUUUGCCUAGGCUGCUACGCCUCACUCCAAGUUCACUGAAGAAAUCAAGCAUCCUCCACUGAUCAAGACUAUGGAGGGCGCAUCGCCUGAGCUGCCUCAGGACAUCUUGAUGAGCAUCUUGGCCACCCUCGAGAUCCCUGACCUCAUCCGUGCCGGGUCGGUCUGCUCCUCAUGGCGCUCCACGUACUUGAGGCUGCGCAGCCUUGGGCACUACACGCGCCCCCAGACGCCGUGCCUCCUCUACACAUCUGAAUCUGCUGGCGAGAGCGUUGCUUGCCUCUACAGCCUCGCGGAGAAGCGGACGUACAAGCUGACUCUUCCAGGGCCGCCUAUCAGAAAUAGGCAUCUGAUUGGGUCCUCGCAAGGCUUGCUUGUUACAGUUGAUGACAGAUCUGAGAUGCACCUUGUCAAUCCCAUCACUGGUGAACAGAUUGAUCUCCCUUCGGUGAUCACCAUCGAGCAUGUGAAACCCAGCUAUAAUGACUCCGGUGCUCUUCACCAGUACGAGUACUCAUGCCACACCGCAAAAAGGGUUUACGGUCCGCCAUCGAUCUUGGCUCUUGGAGAGCUGAGGAACAAGCUCCACUAUAAAGCUUUUGUGUUUUCUGAUGCAUGCAAUGGAUACAUUGUGGCGCUCAUACACAAUCCAGCCAGUCAGCUCUCGGUUGCAAGGGCAGGGGAUGAUAGUUGGAUAUGGCUGCCACCAUACACCAACUAUGACGAUUGCAUUUACAAGAACGGCCUGCUGUACGCAGUCACUUCAUAUGGACAAAUUCACGCUUUUGACCUAAGUAGCCCUGUUGUCACGAUGAAGAUGAUUACACAGGAGCCAGAGCCUGAUGACCGGUUUCUGAAUACUUACAUUGUACAAGCUCCAUGGGGCAAUCUUCUUCAGGUGUGGAGAUUAUAUGAGCACUGUGAUUUAGAACCCGAGCCUGGGGCAUCUGUGUUUUGGAGCACUGGAAAAUUCAAAAUAUAUGAAGUCGAUGCUUCUUCAGGAGAGAAAAUUAAGAAAACCAGUUGCUUGCGCGACCAUGUGUUGUUUCUUGGGCACAAUCAAUCACUUUGUCUUGCUGCUCAAGACUAUCCGGCUCUCAAGGGAAACCAUGCCUACUUUACCGAUGACAGUGUGCUUUGGACAAGGGGAUUCAAGAACGGUCCCCGUGAUAUGGGAAUUCUCGACUUGGGUAAUAACAGCAGGGAGGAACUUGUGUCUUCCCAGCUUUGCUCCAACUGCCCAGCUCCGGUGUGGAUUACACCCAAUCUUAGAAAGAUGAACUUGGCAUUCAAUGAAUAGGUUUUAGCUUCCUUUAUCUAUAAUUAUAUGUAAUAAUUAUUUAGUUUGGUAGGCGGUGGUCCUGUGUUGAUGAACUCUGUACUCGUACACUUGAACCACUUUUUAAGAAGUUCCAUGGUAAGCGUAUGGCAAAA
rnacentral:rRNA from 1 species